rnacentral:rRNA from 1 species
AUGAACGCUAGCUACAGGCUUAACACAUGCAAGUCGAGGGGCAGCAUGAGCUUAGCUUGCUAAGCUUGAUGGCGACCGGCGCACGGGUGAGUAACACGUAUCCAACCUCCCGCUUACUCAGGAAUAGCCUUUCGAAAGAAAGAUUAAUGCCUGAUGGUAUCUUAAGCACACAUGUAAUUAAGAUUAAAGAUUUAUCGGUAAGCGAUGGGGAUGCGUUCCAUUAGGUAGUAGGCGGGGUAACGGCCCACCUAGCCGACGAUGGAUAGGGGUUCUGAGAGGAAGGUCCCCCACAUUGGAACUGAGACACGGUCCAAACUCCUACGGGAGGCAGCAGUGAGGAAUAUUGGUCAAUGGGCGCGAGCCUGAACCAGCCAAGUAGCGUGAAGGAUGAAGGUCCUACGGAUUGUAAACUUCUUUUAUACGGGAAUAAAGUGGCCUACGUGUAGGCUUUUGCAUGUACCGUAUGAAUAAGCAUCGGCUAACUCCGUGCCAGCAGCCGCGGUAAUACGGAGGAUGCGAGCGUUAUCCGGAUUUAUUGGGUUUAAAGGGAGCGCAGACGGGGGAUUAAGUCAGUUGUGAAAGUUUGCGGCUCAACCGUAAAAUUGCAGUUGAUACUGGUUCCCUUGAGUGCAGUUGAGGCAGGCGGAAUUCGUGGUGUAGCGGUGAAAUGCAUAGAUAUCACGAAGAACCCCGAUUGCGAAGGCAGCCUGCUAAGCUGUAACUGACGUUGAGGCUCGAAAGUGUGGGUAUCAAACAGGAUUAGAUACCCUGGUAGUCCACACGGUAAACGAUGGAUACUCGCUGUUGGCGAUAUACUGUCAGCGGCCAAGCGAAAGCAUUAAGUAUCCCACCUGGGGAGUACGCCGGCAACGGUGAAACUCAAAGGAAUUGACGGGGGCCCGCACAAGCGGUGGAGUAUGUGGUUUAAUUCGAAGCAACGCGAAAAACCUUACCAAGUCUUGACAUCCUGAUGACCGUUCCUUAACCGGAACUUUUCUUCGGAACAUCAGAGACAGGUGGUGCAUGGUUGUCGUCAGCUCGUGUCGUGAGAUGUUGGGUUAAGUCCCGCAACGAGCGCAACCCCUGUCGUUAGUUGCCAGCAUUCAGUUGGGGACUCUAACGAGACUGCCAGUGACAAACUGGAGGAAGGUGGGGAUGACGUCAAAUCAUCAUGCCCCUUAUGGCCUGGGCUACACACGUACUACAAUGGCGUCUACAAAGAGCGGCAAGCCUGUGAAGGCAAGCGAAUCUCAUAAAGGACGUCUCAGUUCGGAUUGAAGUCUGCAACCCGACUUCAUGAAGCUGGAAUCGCUAGUAAUCGCGGAUCAGAAUGCCGCGGUGAAUACGUUCCCGGGUCUUGUACACACCGCCCGUCACACCAUGGGAGUCGGUAACGCCCGAAGUCAGUGACCUAACUGCAAAGAAGGAGCUGCCGAAGGCGGGACCGAUGACUGGGGUG